GUGCACCAGGCGAGAAUUUUUCACAAUGGGGAAACCCUGAUGGAGCGACGCCGCGUGGAGGAUGAAGGCGUUUUCGUCGUAAACUCCUGUCAAACGGGAACAAGAAAGUGAUAGUACCGUUAGAGGAAGAGGCGGCUAACUCUGUGCCCAGCAGCCGCGGUAAUACAGAGGCCUCAAGCGUUGUUCGGAUUCAUUGGGCGUAAAGGGUGCGUAGGUGGCCUUGGUAAGUUGAAGGUGAAAUCUCGGGGCUUAACUCCGAAACUGCCUUCAAUACUGCCGAGCUCGAGGAUUGUAGAGGAGAAUGGAAUUCACGGUGUAGCAGUGAAAUGCGUAGAUAUCGUGAGGAAGACCCAGUGGCGAAGGCGAUUCUCUGGGCAAUUCCUGACAC
rnacentral:rRNA from 1 species